UAAUAGUACUAGACUCUACAAAUUUCCAGACUGUGAGAAAAAUUCUAAGGCUGCACACAUCUAUACGCUAGUGUGUUUCGAGCUGAUUCUCAUUUUGGUCUCCAUGUGUGGACCUUUUCUGGUCAAAUAUAUGCAGUGCUGGACCUGAGCCCAGGCUGUGCUGAGGUCGUGAGCCCCAUCUCCUUGGUCAUGAUGCUUAUGUCAGGCAUGGGUACUCGGUAGCAGAGAAUCAACCUCGGGUGAUCUUGGGAACUAUGCAGAAAGAAGAGGGACUUUGUUCCUCUGAUAGGUGUUUUUGCUGAGUGCUGUUUUGCCCCUACAAGGUCCAGACCCAUCUGUGAGGUAGACAGGAUAGCAGAGGUAGGAGACAGAGAUCGAUUCCUGAUGGCUGCUUUUGCUUAAACCACUUUGAGUUGGAUUUCUGUUACUUGCAACCAUGAGUCCUGACUCAAGGAGAAAAAGCUACCCACUGUUGAAAAUGCACUCAUCACAUAAAUGGACAAGUUCCACAAUCCGCAGUGUGAUCUACCCCAAGGCCCAGGUGUCCAGAGCAACGUGUCUAGACUGGGACACCAAGGAGGGGAGCUGUCAAGUCAGAGGGGAGCAGAACUACCAGGGUCUGCAUCCCAUCAGCACCUGCAGCAGACAGAUGGACUCUGGCAGAUACAGUGGCCAGUUCCCCGAAAGGAAGGGGGCUGUACUGCGCAAGGCCGGCCCUGGAUAUGAAGCUAAGCAAUAGGAGUGUCCUGGUCACCAGGAAUGAACGUACUUGAUGAAUUAACUAAGAGCUGACUGACAUCCCCGUAUGGUUAGCAGAAAUCAGUCCUGGGUCCUUCUGAGACCUGGCUUCCUGAGAGCUCAUCUGUGAACAGUGGACUGGACUCCUAAAUGGCCCACCCUCCUUUCGCCAAAAGGAGACCAAGUAGUGGAAUGGUCAAUUCUCUUGGGUUUGGGGAACAUGGAGCAAUCAAGACUGGUUUCAGCAUGUUGAGAAGAUGAUUGAGGUAAUGUUUUUUCUUUUCUUUUCUUUUCCUUUCUUUCUU